UAUAACUUCACUGAAAAAACCUAAUUGUGAUACGGAGAACAUCUCUCAUCUGAUUUAUCAUCACAUACCGAACGCAAUUUUGGCAUCCAGCAUUGGAGAGGAAUUGACAUUCAUACUUCCUAAAGACAGCGUACAGAGGUUUGAAUCUCUAUUUACUGACUUGGAACUGAGACAGGUAGAGCUGGGCAUCUCCAGCUUUGGGGCCUCUGUCACCGCCAUGGAGGAUGUCUUCAUAAGGGGUUGUAUGUUGGCAGAUCCAGUACAGCUAUCUCAAACAUCAAACGUCCCUCUAUGCAUCCCUAGCCGCACUUAACAGAAUUCCUGUUGACAGAAGUAAACAUCUUCAUUUAAGGAUCUUCUCAAUACAGACUGGGCUGCCAAUCAGACCAAACGCUG
rnacentral:lncRNA from 1 species